UAGUAAAUAAUAAUUGUAAGUUUGUUCUUGCAGCAAGACGUUGCGUGGUUUUAUAGUUGUUUUGGCGUGUUUUAUAGAAGGAGUAGAGUUAUUUAGUGGUGUUGUGAGUUGCACGCUGCAUAUAUGUAUAUGUAUCGCAUAUUCGAUUUAAACCAUGGAUUCUAAACGUAAGCAUGUCACAUUAAGUCUUAAACAAAAGGCUGAAAUUUUACGUCUGCUGGAUUCCGGAUGUUCAUUCACGUCCUUGGCGACACGCUUUAAUGUCGGGAAGUCAACGAUAUCAAUUAUGUGUCGCGUACUGGAAAAAGGCCAGGAAGCGUAAAUCUAUUGUCCCGUACAGCACAACCAUAGACGCGAGUUGUAUCGGUUAGGAGAAUAGAGAAGGUAAUUAGACAUUGCGCCGAGACAAAUCCCUGUGUGGUACAACACCAACCUCGGCGCGCGGCAACGUUGUCAUAAAUCACGCCAUAAUUAGUUGAGGAAUGCGCUUGAAGAAUGAAGAGUAGGAUCUUUAUUAUUUUUCUACUGUGUUUUCGUGAGUUCUUUGAGUUCACCAAAUGGCUGAAAAAAAUACAACGGACAUUCUAAAGAAAUUAUGCAUAGACUUGCAUAUAAAAAUGAUAAAAGUUGUAACUAAUGAGCAAUUUACAGUCGCUUUGCAAUGUAAACUAGUAGAUGGAGAAAAUUCUGAGGAGCAGUCUGACAAUUGGGUAUCAAAAUUUUCUGAUCUGACUCAUAGCAACUGGAUUACUAAAAGACGUUUUGCAAAUCCUACACGAUACAUAUUUCGAAAAAUAUAUUCAUGCCAGCAUUCAGAUGUAAAUAAGGUAGUUGUGCGGCGAAGGGUAGAUUCUAGAAACAGAAACAAGAAAUGUGGCGCACCUAUUGAUCUUAAAUUAAAAAAAAUAAGUCGGGAUACAAUUAGUAAAGUCGGGAUACAAAUAUCAUGGUAUAAAAAUACUUGAAAACGAGGAAGGCGAUAUUUUUUCCAUGUUAGCCAAUACGCAAAUGAAUCCAAUGCAAAGACAAGUAAAUUAUCUUUACGAUAAAUGGCGAACAUCUGAAUAUGGUAGUCGUGAAGAGACUAGUUUUAUACAGGUACUGCAUUCAAAAAUUUCAGAAUUUGAGAAAGCUGGUAGUAAAGUAGUUUUACAAGAAAAUCCUCUUUUAAUAGUUAUUGUUACCCUAAUGAUGCAACGAACUGUGGCUGAAGAAUUUUCCAAUGAAAUUGUUUUUAUAGAUUCCAGCGGGUCAUGUGACCAAAUACGUGUCACAUUUAUGUUUACAGCCAGUAAAAUUGCGGCAUUACCUGUUGCCUGUUACUACACACAGCUCAAACAGAAUCAAACUACGCAUUGGCGUUUUCUGCAGCUAAAAAAACACUGGAAUUAAGCGGAAAGGCGUUUUGUCCCCAAGUUAUCAUGACGGACAAUAGCGAAAUGCAUUAAAAGCUACAUUUCCAACUUCUAAUCUAUUACUUUGUACAUUUCAUAUAUGUCAAGCCCAGUGGAGAUGGCUAUGGCAAAGUAAUCAUAAUGUUCCCAAAGAAAACAGGCGCAUUAUUAUGCAGAUGUUCAGAGAUGUAUUAUAUUCUACUACACCGGAAGAAACUGAAGUCAAUUUCUGUGCUUUAAUGUCAAGUGAGAAAAUAGCUAAUAAUAAUUUGGUAAAAGAACACUUUACAAAGUUAUGGGAAAGAAAAUUAGAAUGGUGUAUUACCUACAGAAGCAAAUUACUUACCAGAGGAAAUAAUACGAACAAUUAUACGGAAGCGUCUAUUCGUAUCUUCAAGGACGUCAUUUUAGAACGUUGCAAGGCUUUCAAUAGUUGUGCACUGGUAGAUUUUAUUGGUACCACGUUUGAAAACUACUAUAAACGAAGAUUACUAGAAUUUGCAAACUCACGACGAACCAAACAUCAAAUAGAUUACAAAAAUUUUUGUGUGAAAGCAAAACACACUGAAAACAUUUUAAAAAUUGAAGAAAACUUAUACCAUGUAGCAUCGGCGACAGACGAGUUAUUACAUUAUACUGUUAAUACAAGUAUUGCAUUUUGUGACUGCCCUCAGGGCAAAAGUGGAGCAUUCUGUAAGCAUCUUUGUGUUUUAGAGCAGCAAUGUGGAUUUCUUUUCAAAAAUUCUCCAGCCUUAUUUUAUGAAGACAGAGUGAAGUUAGCUAAAAUAGCUGUAGGGCUGACGCUCCUAUAGAUUUCUUCAAAAAUAUGGAAGCUGAUCAUCCCUUGAGAACCUCUGAUAAAUCAUCUGAAGAAACUGCCACGACAUCACGCAUCCAAGAAAGUAUCACAAUUCCUAUUCACAAUUUGGUGGAUGAUCCCUCUUACCACCAAAAAGUUGUCGAGGAACUUCGUGAAGAAUUCAACAGAAUUGGUAAUAUUUUUGAAGAAAAUUGUUCACCAGAUGCCACUGCUGUUUUAAUAAAAUUAAACGCGUUAUUAAAAAAUGUUCAUACCCCAACUCAGGCAUUAAAUUUUGCAGUAAAUGCAUUUACUCGGUUCCGAAAGAUUCGAGUUCAACCAACAUCUAUAGCCAGACGUAAGAACCGAGGUUUACCAAAGACCAGCAAUAGAAUUCAAGCAGGUCGACCGACAAAUAUGGAGAAGAAAUCGAAAGAAGCCCGACAAACUAAAAGAACUCAUAAUUUAUCCAAAAAUAUUAAGGAAAAUAAACCAAACGCAAAAAUCCAUUAAUUUGUUGCAUCAGUUCUCAAUUUUUCUGUAUCUAUAUCUAUACUUUAAACAAGGUGUCAUACUUAAUGUUAUAGAACCAGUUAUUUUAAAAUAAUAAAUAAAUUAUUAAGGGUUUUUGUAACUAUU
rnacentral:lncRNA from 1 species